rnacentral:rRNA from 1 species
AUGAUGUGGUUUAAUUCGAUGCAACGCGAAAACCUUACCCACCUUUGACAUGGCAGGAAUCCUGAAGAGAUUUGGGAGUGCUCGAAAGAGAACCUGCACACAGGUGCUGCAUGGCUGUCGUCAGCUCGUGUCGUGAGAUGUUGGGUUAAGUCCCGCAACGAGCGCAACCCUUGCCAUUAGUUGCUACGAAAGGGCACUCUAAUGGGACUGCCGGUGACAAACCGGAGGAAGGUGGGGAUGACGUCAAGUCCUCAUGGCCCUUAUAGGUGGGGCUACACACGUCAUACAAUGGCCGGUACAGAGGGUAGCCAACCCGCGAGGGGGAGCCAAUCCCACAAAGCCGGUCGUAGUCCGGAUCGCAGUCUGCAACUCGACUGCGUGAAGUCGGAAUCGCUAGUAAUCGCGGAUCAGCAUGUCGCGGUGAAUACGUUCCCGGGUCUU